rnacentral:misc_RNA from 1 species
GCUCGGUCGAACAGACCAUAGUGUUCGGGUCGUUCGUCGAGGAAGGAGGUUCUCUCGUUUUACUAAACCCAGUUUUUUGAUUUGGGUAUUGCUGCUUUCUGCUAUCUUCUUGAUUUCUUUCUCUGUCUUUGGCCUCAAAUUGCAACUUCCUGGUAAUUUGGAAAUUUUGGAGAGCAGCAUUUCAUCUUCACAGAAAUUUGAUAUUGGUGGUAAUAGAGAAAGAAGAGUCAAGUUUUCGAAUGAAGUCCAGCAUGAAUUUUCUGGAUCUAAUAACGUUGUCAAAACAUCAAGAAGCAAGCGCCGUAAACAGCGUAAGAGAAGUUGGCUUGUAUACCAUUAAUUUCGAUAUAUGUGUUUUGCCAUAUGAUAAUUUCAUCUUAUUAUUGUUAGAAACAUUAACUCUGUUCUUUUGGGAUCUAUGCUACUUUUUCAAUUGUCUUGUUGCUCGAAGAUUUGGAAACUCUAGGAUGAAAUUGUGACCCUAGACAUUUCAGCUUUAUAUCUGCUGUUAUAUUAUAUUUUUUGAUCUAGGAUAUAAAACAGAUUAAUUAGGAGAAGUGCAUAAUGGUCUUAUUAACCACAUGGUAAUUAACAUAAAAUUACUUUCUUAAACUUAAUAAAUAGAAUCCUUAAUCACAUCUUUCAUAAACAACACUAAAAAUGAUAUUUUUCUUGAUUGAAGAAUUUUUAAUUUCUUAAAUUCCAGACAUAUUUUGCUAAUCAAUUCGUCUUUUUAUCAUGACUUUUGUUCUUUUUGUCCUAUGUGUUGAUCUGUCAGAUUUUCCUUGUGAAGUUGGGUUUUCGGAAGCAGUUGAAUAUCUCAUUGAGCCGCUAGAUAUCAGAAAUUUCACGCAAUUUUCUCUCCGUUAUGUGGAUACAGAGGAGAAGGCUUUGGGAACAACUUCAUUUGAAUCUAGAUUUGGAGGACAUCAGACCCUCCAUGAAAGAGAGAAAUCUUUCUAUGCUAGAAAUCAAACAGUUCACUGUGGUUUUGUCAAGGGACCCGUUGGAUUUCCUAGUACCGGAUUUGAUUUGGAUGAAAAGGACAAGGCAUACAUGAGUACUUGUCUGGUAGUGGUUUCUUCUUGCAUUUUUGGAAGCUCUGACUUUCUGAGGAGGCCUACAAGUAAAAAAGUACCUACCUCCUUUUAAGUAUAAAUUUUAGUCAUGUAGACCAUUGUUUUUCUUUUUUAAAUAUUUGAGUUGUGUUUUGUACGUUUACAUGUCAAAGCUAUUUUAGAUAAGAAUCAUCAUAAAUUUCAGUCUACUUACUCGUAGCACUUUAAAUUGUCUACAAAAAGAAAGCACACAAAGCUGGUGGCCAUAAAGUUAUCUUAGGAUGACUUUGUAUUGGAAGACAUUCCAAUGAGUUAAAAGAGAAUUACAAGAUUAUUCUUUUGAGCUGUUUAAGGUACUAUAGUUUUGUACUUUUAUUAUAUGAUAACUAUAUAUAGGUAGAUAGACAGAUAGAUGGAUAGAUAGAUAGAUAGGGAGAAACAAAGUAAGAUAGACAGAGAGUUUUCUAGUAAUUUAUUUAUUAGGUAGGUAGAUAUGAGCAUACCUAUUUGGUAUAUCAAUAUUUGUGUUUUCUGCUGAGAUUAUGCUUUUAGAAACUACAGUGUUUUUUGGCUCAUACAUUUAGGAGUGUGUUGGAUUAUUUUAGUUUAUGUUCUAUUAUCUUUACAGAUUGUAUUGAACCUCUAAAUAGACAAAUUAUAUUACUUAUAUUCUCCUUUGAAUAUAGCUUUAUUGACAAAAAAACAAAAAGAUAUGAUUUAUAAUAUUGUCAUGUAACCUAAAAGCAACAAUAAAUCGUUGUCAUAGGUAAAAUGGACCAAUUGCAAUGCUCACUGAAGUUUGGGGAAGUUACACCUCUGUAACUUUAACUAGUUUGAACUGUUAGUGUUAACUUCAUUAUGAGCUUUAAUUCCAUUUACGAUAUAUUAUCAUCACCAAAAUAACCAAGACUCCAAUGAACAAUCUAAAACUGUUGUGGAAUUUAUGCUUAGGGAGUGGAAUCCCCCAUUUCAGGCGAAGUUGCUCACCAGAAUCAGUUUUCAGAUGAGGUUACUCACUGAGGUCUCAACAAAAAUUUGACUAAUAUGACUACAUUGAAAUUGAAACCAAAGUUCAGUGAUGAAAUUGGGACAAAAUAAAGUUUGGUGAUUCAGGUGAAAUUACCUCUAAUGGUCAGUGGCCAAUGAUGUUUCUUCUUAUUCUUGUACAUCAGAGAGCAAGGUAUCAGGGAUUAAACACUUGACCGACCUCCUUCAUUACAGUGCAGACACUUGAAACAGAGAUCAAUGGUGUAUUUUACCUAUUGCUUUUGUGCUUCUUGGGUGUUAGUCAUGUUCUUAGUUCUUUCAAUGAUGUUAUAUGUUCUUGCUUGUUCCAGAUCAGCAAUUUUUCCAAGAAAAAUGUUUGUUUUGUUAUGUUUUUGGAUGAGCAAACACUGUCCAAACUGUCUUUGGAUGGACAUAUACCUGAUGAUAGAGGAUAUGUUGGUCUAUGGAGAAUAGUUGUUGUCAAAAACCUGCCAUAUGAUGACAUGCGGAGAACUGGAAAGGUGCCAAAAUUUUUAUCACAUCGCCUCUUCCCUUCUUCUAGAUAUUCAAUUUGGCUCGAUAGUAAGAUGAGACUCAACACUGAUCCAAUGCUAAUACUUGAAUACUUUUUGUGGCGAAUGAGAUCAGAGUAUGCCAUUUCAAAACAUUAUGACCGUCACUGUGUCUGGGAGGAGGUACUCCAAAAUAAGCGUCUAAACAAGUACAAUCACACAGCCAUUGAUGAACAGUUUAACUUUUAUCAGUCUGAUGGUCUCACAAAGUAUGACCCUUCAGAUCCAAAUACUCCUCUUCCAAGUUAUGUGCCAGAAGGUUCAUUUAUUGUACGGGCCCAUACACCAACGUCAAAUUUAUUUUCAUGCCUCUGGUUCAAUGAAGUUGAUCGAUUUACCUCACGUGAUCAACUUAGUUUUGCAUACACUUACUUGAAACUGAGGAGAUUAAAUCCAGAUAAACCAUUCUACCUAUAUAUGUUCAAGGAUUGUGAACGCAGAGCACUAGCAAAGCUUUUCCAUCAUAGGGCAUUGCCAUCGCCUCCACCUGUUCCUUAAUCACUGAAAUUUCUUUUGGCAGUUAUGUCUUGUCUGGAGCAGGUAUUGAAAGAAGAAAAAGCAUAAGAUUCCUGAGUGCCUUCUUCAAAAAUCUAGUUUGAUGGAUCUUUCAAGCUUGGCAGAAAUCAGACCUGAGCAUUCAGCUGCCUUAUGAGAGGAUGAGAUUGAUUAGGUGGAUGCCUUAUAUCUAUGGUAAAUGACUGUAUUCUAUCGGCAAGUAGUUUUCAGCAUGGAGAGCUUGGGGCUUUGUUGGACUAAAUGAUUGGUAAUGAUAUUGCAGAAGUGUCCCUUGAUAUCAGGGCUUCAUCCCUGCAUUAUUUUUCUUCAUUUUAGUUUCAAACUUAACACCAACCUACUUAAUCCGAUGUGUCCCCAUGUGCACAUACACACAGAGACUGAUGACUGAUUGCUUUUCCACUAUAGUUUGCAACACAUCUCUCUUCUGAAUAUUUACCAACAAAUUGUUGGGAGGGAAGAAAGGUGCUAAGUUCUUAAGCAUUAUUUUGUCCUUUUUGUAUCCUAUAAUUUUUCUAAUGGCAGGUUAGCAUGUUACAUUUUGUUGAGGGAGAAAGAAAGAGGGGGGAUUCUCCUAGCUGUUAAGAGAGCAUGGAAUCCUGCUGGUCAAUAAUCAAGAUCUUUACAUUUACUAACCCGAGUGUUCGAGAAUUGGGUAUUAUGUGUAUUGCACGCAUCUUUUACUCUUAAUGGAGAGAGAAGGAAGGAGAGGUUAGAGUAUGUAACUGCUUGAGCAUGCAUUUUUUAUCUUCUUACUUUUGAAUUCAUGAUUCUUGGGGUCCUUAACCACUGACACUUGUAACUAUGCAUGAGAAUGCCAAUCAUGCUUUCUUGAAGGUCCUACAAUCUUUUCAUGACAAACUUGUGUUAUCCUGCUCUUUCAAACUGUCUAUAAAUACCUGAUUGUUUGUUGCUUGAUCCAACAAAUACUUUGCCUGGCAAAAAGAGGAAGAGAAGAGUCUGAGACUCCAUUGUAGUUGUAGAUGUUGGAUGUGAAAAUUGGAGGAAAUUGAACAAUGGGCAUUUUGUUUUGCUUUAUGUUUAGUUUCCUCCAAUAUUUCAUGUACAACCAUCACACGAUUUGUAUCUAUUACAAGCACCUACAACGAGACGAAUGAUAAUUGAUGUCUAAGUCGUAUGUGAGGAUUGGAGGAAG